GGUGCUUUGRCCGAGUGGUUAAGGUAGACUGAUCUCGUCUGCUUAAUCGUGAUCAGAAACUAACAGAGACAACAGGUGCGCCCCUGCUAAUGCAGUUGUAGGGCGUUUCUUCGGAAGCAAGAGUUCGAAUCUCUUAGGCAUCG